GACGAACCGUGCGAACGUUGUUCGGAAUCACUGGGCUUAAAGGGCGCGUAGGCGGGCUGCCGAGUCCGGGGUGAAAUCCUCCCGCUCAACGGGAGAACGGCCUCGGAUACUGGCGGCCUCGAGGCGGGUAGGGGCGUGCGGAACUCUGGGUGGAGCGGUGAAAUGCGUUGAUAUCAGGAGGAACACCUAUUGCGAAGGCAGCUCGCUGGGACGUAACUGACGCUGAGACGCGAAAGCGUGGGGAGCAAACAGG
rnacentral:rRNA from 1 species